rnacentral:lncRNA from 1 species
AUACAUAUAAGUGUGGCUAAGUUACAACAAGUGUUGUAACUUACAACAACCUGAAAGUCGUAACAAUCAAGUUAAGUGUAGUUUAGUUGUUAAAUACUUUCGAGUUAUUGGAUUCAACUCUUGGUUUAUUAUAAGUUACAACAUUAUAUAAAUUGAGUAAGGUUCAUAUAUACACAUACAAUUUUUAUCUAGUGCAUAUCCUCAUAUAUUUUAUAAAGCAGAUACAUUGUAUAUACCAUAUAGUUUAUAAAGUGAACUUAUAUUUUAAAGAAUGUGAGUAUCUGCACUUAAGAAUGUAUGUAUGUGUAUAUAUAUAUAUAUGAGAACUUAACAUUAAUAUCUUUUUAAAGAAAUUUAACAUUACUAAUUAAAUGCAGAAUAGUUGAAGUUUGAGACCAUUUGCUUACUGGCAUCCACUUCUUGUGGGUGAGUGAGAGAGACGAAUUUUAAAUGCGUCAAUUCAUAUCAAUGAGGUUAAUGAAUGGAGUAACUUAUUGCCCACCCAAGCAAGAGAACAAUGUCCACCCAAAAAUCCACAAUUGACCAUUCUUUUCGUUCACGGGUCGUCACAUCAUAGCAACGAAACUCGGACAUUUUGAUACGUGGCUGAAUCUCUGUGGGGCUCCUGCAUGCAGUUGACCCCAGCCACCGCCACACUUUAUAAUUUGUAUUGACUUUAACAAUUUAAUUAUCAAAUAUUAUUUGAUAUGAUUUAUCUAAUAAUUAUAAAUAUUUAUUUAAUAAUUUAAUUUUUUUUAAUUCUUUAGUAAAGCUUUUAAAAGUUAAAUAAAUUAAGUUGUCUCUACAAAUAAAAAUUUAAAUUUUGAACUUUUAAGAGUCAACGUUAAAAAGUUUAUUAAAAUAUUUAGAAUAUUUUUUUAUUUAUUUGAUAAUUUUAUUCUAUUUAUUUCAUGACAUCCUUUAAAAAAUUUAAUUAUUAAAAUAAAUUGAUAAUUUUUAAUAAAAAUUUUCAUUAACAACUAAAUAACUAAAAGACCUAAAUAUGCUCUAUUUAAAAAGUUAUAUCAUAUUUUUAAAGACAAACACUUUGACACACUUCUUCAAUUUACUUUUAGUGAUUUAAUUAAAGCAUUAAUGGUCGGAUCAACAGUGAUUAAGCGUGGGUUUUGGGCCACUAAUCUUGUUUUAUUAUCUUCAUUAAUGUUGGAUUUAAUUAGUGGCCUUGAAAUGCUCAUAUAUUUUGAUUAAAAAAAAAUUCACUUUUUCGUUAGGAAUAUAAUGACAUUAAAGAUAUCACACUUUCAAUUUGUUUUGUUUUAUUUUGAAUCUGUCUUUUGUUGGAAUCGGCCUUUGUCAGUAGUCAUUUUCCAAUUUAAAUUAUACUCCAUCUAUUUAAUUAAUUUGUCGAUGUCAAACUUCCUAAAAUCGUACUAGCAAUCCAUUUCUAGGAUAGCUACUUGAAGUUCAUGAAGCACGUUGCAGCAGCCAUUUUACCGAAGCUACAGCAAUCAGCUUACUAAAAAUUUAUUACAACAAUUAUUUUAUUUAAAAAUUUUAUUUAUUUAUUGUGUGUCCAGCGGCACAAAGCAGUUGGCAAUGGCUGUGACUCAAUGGCGGAAUCAGAAUUUUAAUUUGGAUGUUAGUGAAAUAUAUCGAAAAUUAGAAUUUUUGGUUAGGGAAUAAUUUAUUAAGUAAAUUUUGAAGUUCACGUUAAAAAUGCUGACGAUGAAAAAUAAGAUUUUGCCUACCUUUUCAAAACUAAUUAUCUUUCUCCUUACUUUUCAAAAAGUAAGUUAGAAUUUGCUUGAAAACUUUUUACUUUUCAUCUUAUUUUUCAAAAACAUUCAGAAAAUUGGAGAUUCAAAAGGCAAUCUAGGCACAAAUGCAUAGAAAUGCUCAACGGACAGGGAUGACAAUAGGGAGGGUAGGAAAUGAAAUCGAUAUUUCUAUACCCAUCCUCAAUAUUUUGUAUAUGUCUCUAUUCCUAUCAGAAUUAUUUGAGGAAAUCUUCAGUCCCUCUUUGAAUAAUAGUAGGAGAUCUCUAAGAGUCCCCUAUCCACAAGUAACUGAUACAUUU